rnacentral:tRNA from 1 species
GGCUCCAUAGUUUAACGGAUAGAAUAUGUGGUUGCGGUCCGCAUGAUCGGGGUUCAAUUCCUCGUGGAGUCA